AUGUAGGGCAAUCUGCUUUUAAGUAGGUAUAAAUUACUCUUAAGAAUCCUUGAUAGUUUUCCCUUCAAGUCAAGCAUCUUCU
rnacentral:pre_miRNA from 1 species